CACCCUUACAGAAAACCGCAGCCAAAUAACACUAGACCCUACUCAUAGACCUCAUAGUGUUGUGUUCCUGCCAGUGAGUAAGGUUGCCAGAGCUCAACGAAGGUGCGGAUGUUAGGGCCGGCAACGCGCAUGUAACACCUCUGGAGUUGCAGGCGUUUAUAGGCUACGGAGACUGCUUAGCACCAGGUGGGCCGUAUGCUUGUUUGCCACCAACUUAAGAUAAAAAAAUAA